GAAAGCGAUAUUAGUGGUUUACAGACUACACAUUUCUUAAUAUUGUAGAGAUCGCUGCACAAAUAAUAUACAAUAAUCGAUUAAUAAACCGAUGAUUAUCUCAUCAAAUAUCGACAAAUCGAUCGUCAUUACCUAUGAUUAUUAUUAACCUAAAAUCAUCCUAAAAUUUUGAGAUGUUCCAUAUUUUUGUUUGCGUUUUAGUUCCCUCGAUAAAAAAUGCCAAGAUAAGGAACUUCAUUUGACACGUUUGUUGCACAAAUGUGAUAAAUAAACCCUGCGGUGUGUUGGGCAAAGACUGAUUUUUCUUCUAACAGUAUUUUUAGGUAAUAAUAAAAUACAUCUUUACAUAAAAUCAACAAUAAAAACAGUAUUAUACAUUAAAAAACAACAUGUACUUAGAUCUGUUUUAAUUGUAACUAUUGGUGUAGAUAAUAAUAUUAAAUUUUCCAAACUGA